UUUUUUUUUUUUUAAAGCUACAGCCCAUGAAGAUAGUUUUUAAAGAAUUAGAAAACCAAGGACUAACUCGUCUCUAUUAUUAUAUUCCAGGCUCACUUAUGUCUUUCAAGUGUUGUACUUAACCAGCUGAGCGCUUCUUUAGCAGAGACUCUGAAAUAAGACACAUUUUAAAAUUUCCUACAGACAGGAUCAAGAACCAGCCAAUAAAAUGCAAACUGUUUAACAAAAUUUGUGUAAACUGUGCUCCAAAAAUAAACUUGUAACUAAAUAAUAUGAAGUGACAAAAAACAGAUGGAUCUUUCUAACAGAAUUCAUCAAAAUUUACUACGAGUUGGCGUAUAGGGAAAGAAAGACAGUCUGUUUUCUCUCUCACUUAAAAAAACCCCAAAUUGAUCACUUUAACUGGCAAGGUAAAAUUUUAAUACUUGUUGAAAUGAAUACUUAUUUACACGGAGCAAAUAUUAGCUGUGCAAAUUGGAAAACAAUAUACCGUGGGACUGGGAGCAUUUCACAAGAAGAGACAACCUGCAGUCCACGCACAAGGCAGCAUGAAAGGGCGGAUUGGUACUGGGCCAGCCAGUCAUCACUAAUGUCACUAAUGUCACUAAAAUGUGAUGUGUAAAAUGUUCCAUAGGAUGUUUUCAAUUGUGGCUUCUCCUUUCCUUUUAAUCUUUGUAUCGGUGGCUGGAGAAUUCCUAAGAUCAGAUCUGACUGCAGCCCUGGGCUUAAAGGGUAAAAGUCCUCCAGCAGGAAGAGGAAUCUGAAAGAGAGGUGGAGUGACAGGGAAAGACAAUGUAACAAUCCCUGGUGGAACCUGUGGUAAGGAGAAGGAAUGAACAAAUGAAUGGAUAGAUCAGAUUAGAUAAGUAAGUAGAUGGACAGAUGGGACCCUGAGGAUUGAAAAGGGCUGUAAGGAGUUUCCCUUUGUGGCUCAGCGGAAAUGAACCUGACUGGUAUCCAUGAGGAUGCAGAUUUGAUCUCUGGCUUCGCUCAGUGGCUUAAAGGAUCCUGAGUUGCUGUGGCUCUAGCAUAGGCUGGCAGCUGCAGCUCAGACUCAACCCCUAGCCUGGGAACUUCCAUGUGCCUCGGGUACGGCCCCAAAAAGAAAAAAGGAAAAAAAGAAAUAGAAAACACUGUAAGACAAGCCCAACAACCAGGGAAUAUUUUAAACAAUCCUUUAUAUUUCUUUGAGAUAUACUCUAAAUCAGAGGUUCUCAGAGUUAAGGGGGAGAAUGUAGGGGUACGGGACAUCACACUUUCCCCACAUACUGGGUUAUGCAUGCUCCAAACUUCUUUCCCACCUCCACCCUGAUACACCACGCAGCAGCUUAGAGAAUUUCUGGAGGGUGGGAGUGGGUGGGCUUUCCAGGUGGUUUUUUUCCUCCUUGGCCCAAGAGCUUUUUUUUUUUUUUUUUUUUUAAAGGGCCACACCUGUGGCAUAUGGAGGUUCCCAGGCUAAGGGUUGAAUCAGAGCUGUCGCCACCAGCCUAGGCCACAGCCACAGCAACUGGAGAUCUGAGCCACGUCUGUGACCUACAACUACAGCUCACGGCAACGAGGGAUCCUUAACCCACAGAGCGAGGCCAGGGAUUGAACCUAAGUCCUCAUGGAUCCUAGGUGGGUUCGUUUCUGCUGAGCCACAAUGUGAACUCCUGCCCAGUGCUUUUAGUGUUUAUAACAAAGAACAAGGCAGGAAUUUUCUACUCCCUACCCCAUCAUGAAUGUACUGCCGGUAUGAUAAACCCACGACCUCGGAGAAUGUGUAAGGUGGGCUGAAGGCUUAUGUUUGUGUGAAAAUGCUCACAUUUGCUCUAGCAGGCAAAGCAAAAGAAGCCCCUGAAAUUUAAACAGACAUGUGUACUUUUAACAACCUGAGCACUAAUCCUGUUAAUUCAUCAGCAACCCAGCCAGAGAGAUGUUUGGUCAGAGAAUCAUUAGAGUUAAGUGGCACUACUGCCUGCUCCAUGUUUAAUGGUCAAACAAAAGCCGCCAGCACUUGCUUGGUAGAAACACCCUGGGGACUUUAUCAGAAAGGUUAAAUCUUAACGGCCUCACUGAAAAACAGUGAUAAUUAUCUACUUCUCCAUUCCGAGCUUUCCUUAUAUACCCCAAAGAUUUAUAUACCUAGAAACUGAUUCCCGUAGGUGUUAAUACUUAUUACUCUGUAAUAAGAGUCUGCACAGAUUAAUAUCCACUGAACAGAGAGGUUUCUGAAAACGAUGAAAAAAAAAAACCAAAACACUCCAUUUUAUAUUUUUAAAUGUCAGUGGAUCUUACAUUUUCUCCUAACAACAGUGGCUGGUCUAAGAAAGAGAGAAAAGCAGAAACUGGGUGUAAUAGAUUAAUAUUAAUAUAACAUUAAUAUAACAUUAUGUCCCCCCAACCACAAAACAUUUUCUAGACUAUAUUAGAGAUCUCACUCUUAGUAUAAAUAGAUCACAAUCAAAGUCAACAGCAUAUUUCUUCAUCAUCAAUAACGAAUUUUCUAGAUUUGGAAAGCAAAGUAUCUUAUUACAGGAAAACUAUUAGAAGGAAAAAAAAUAGUUCCUUAACAAUAAUUUCAUAAUUCUUUCCUUUAAUAAAGUUGUAUGCCUUUCAGAUUAUUCUAAAAUAUUCCUACUGAUUUCUGCCUCUAAUCGUGUGGUGACCAAACUUUGUGUAUAUUUUAUACAGUUUCCAAAACUUUCCAAAAAAUAACAUUAACAGGCUCUUUAAAUGAGCAUUCAAAAAAAUGACAUCUUGAAACUUUGCUUAUGCAAUAGAAGAAAAUACUAACACUUUGUUUUGAGAUUUGAGUGAAAUCACCUUUAAGUAUGGAUCCACAGGAAGGAGUUAAAUAAUCCUACCCUAGUUCCUGCACUAGUGUGGAGGCAAAGGCAAGACUUUAGGAGAAACAUUUCACCAGGAGCCUGCGAUCCAUACAUUUCAUAGUACUAAUCACAGAGGCAGAUCCUAAGAACAGGAAGCUUACUCAACCCCCCAGGCUGCUGCAGAAACGGCACCAGGUACACUUCAAUACAGUUUCCUUGUAAAGAUCUAAAGUCUAGAAUUAGAUAUUUCAGUAUGUAUUUAAAAUACAAUGGGUUACUUGUUACGAUAUUUCUGCUUAGUGUUCCGUGCCAACAAAUUCAAGAAAUAGCUUAAUAUAGCCUAAGAGAUUAAGAGGAGCACUUCCUGUUAGCAAGAAUUAAGCCACCGAAAAAUGACAAAGGAAGGUUCUAGAAUCUGCAGGUUAGUUCCACCUGCUUGCUACAGUGUAGGUAUGAUGUUCUACAGGCUUUGGUAGAGGACAAAGGCAGGUGGGGAGCCAGAGGGCUAGACAACUCCUUGGGUUCUGAAGUCCUGUGUUGCAACCCACCUGGCAUCCUCAAGGCAGAGCACAGUUUCAUGUAAGGAAAGAAACACAAGCGGAGAAGACCCAGAAAGGUCUGUGUCAAGUCUCCACUGCUCAUCCUCUUAUGCCAACCACAAAAAGCUUCUUUUACAUGACUGCCGGAACAAGCCAUUGCUUUCAAAUGGUAUGAGGCUAUAAAAAGCAAUACCUUCUCCAAAGCCAUUAAAGUUACUAUGUUUGGCUCCCAGAACUUAAGCUACAAUGUUGUACUUAAAUAAAUUCUUUCUUUCUCAAAAGCACUUAUUUGACCAGUGCUUCCAAUCCAGGCUUGAGUGUCUGCACAUAACUCCAGCCCAAGGAAUGGCACACAUGGGGAAGAGGCAGCAAAAGAGUUAACUUAAAAGAUUAAAAUUCUGAGUCUAAGACAAUGUCAUUUUAACAAUUUUAAUGAAUACAAGUGACUAUUGGUACUUGAAACAGAUCUAUAAAAUAUUUAUCUAUUGAAUUUUCACUUAUCCUAAGACAUUAAGGCAAAGAAGAAACUGUCACAGUGUCCAUAAUUAUAAUUUUCACCAGGAACUUUGCAUAUUUAAAACAAAUUCAUUUGAAGGAAAUAAAGAAAUUUGGUUUAUACACCACAGUAUUUUUUUUUUUUUUGUCUUUUUUCCUUUUCUAGGGUCACUCCCGCGGCAUAUGGAGAAAUAGCAAAAAGACAAAAAAAAUAAAAAAAAUAAAAAAAAAUAAAGAUNCAGCUGCUGGCCUACACAACAGCUGCAGCAACGCUGGAUCCAAGCCUCAUCUGUGACCUACACCACCGCUCACAGCAACGCUGAAUCCCUAACCCACUGUGUGAGGCCAGGGAUUGAACCUGCGACCUCGUGGUUCCUCGAUGGAUUCCUUUCUGGUGCGCCAUGAGGGGAACUCCUACACAUACAUUCUUUAAGUUCUGAAGAAAAUACACUGAACAUUAAUACCGCUUGAUGAAUUUAAGAGUGGUUUUCAAUUUUUUCUUCAUUCUGGACUGCAUUUUGUAAUUUUUCACGUAAAUCAUUUUUAUAAUUAGGACAAUGCUAACGGCUAUUUUUACUGUAAAAGUAGGGACAGAGUUAACAGAGGAAAUGUGCCUCUUUUAAAAGGUAUUUUGUUUUGCACAAUUUCAAGCAUGCAAAAAAUGCAUGUACAGAAAAGUCAGAGCACAAGUACACUAAAAUAUUAAGAACGGUUGUCCAAGUGGUAGGAGUAUGAGAUUUUUUCCCUUCCUACAUUUGUGUAUAGUCCACAUUUAAAAAUAUUUUCAUUGCAAAUGUGUUACUUUAUAGCUAAAAGUACUGGAAACCAUGUAUAGUUCUUGCUGUUGCCUUCACAGAAAUAUUUAUCUACUGAAAUCUCAUUAUUUCAUGUCUUCACUCAGCAUCACUUAACUGUAAUGAAAGUUAUAUGUUUAGAAUGUUGUGUUUUGGACAAGUCUACAGCAUUGCUGCUGUUGAGAAAGCCUGGUAAACCUAUACCACCUGGACUUUACAGCCCUACCUUGAAGUAUACAAACAAUUAAAUUAGUCUUUACUUAGUGUCAGCUUUCACAAAGAGACUUCACUGUACUAAAGAGUGAUAUCUUCUGGUGGGUUUACUCUUCUGCUUUAUAAAUUUCCAUACGAACAAAACCAGCUGCUGAAGUGCAGAGAAUGAGGCCAAACCUGAUUCUAACGGCGAAAACAGUUCAGUCAAAAAAUAGAAAUCUCCAAGCCCUCCUUUGCAAAUAUUGGUAAUUUUUGUGCAUCACAGGUGUUUUAGUAAGCUUGUAUAUUUAAGCAUUUUUGAAAACCCCUUUUCUCAUUUCUGGUGGAUUUUUGCUUUAUUGUACUUUUUAUCAGAGUUUCUGUCCUCUGUUCUCUGUGGCAACAAAACUUCAGAAGUAGCCUAAAAUCACCAAAUGAUCAGUUAAAUAGAUUAUAGCUUUCAAAAGUAUAUGUACACUAUAUACAAAAAAAUCAUUUUUAAAUGGAAAGAAUGAUUGGAUACAAUAAUUUAAACUAGUAUGCAAAAAUCCAUAAAAAUAUUAAGAAUAACAAUCCCAAGUACUCCAAAAUUUUAGUUCCAUAUUUUCUUUUCGAAAAUAUUGUUAGUAUUUUCUUCCCUAAUUUCAAAAGCUGUAUGUUAUCCACUUUGAAUUAUGUCUAGCAAUUUAUCUAAAGAUACUUGCAUAAGCAUCUUUGCAUUGUUUUCUAAAUCCACCCAUUAGAAUUUUUUCUGCCAACAGAUGCAUUUUAAAAUUCAGAACCUUGGGAAGUUCUCAUGCAGCGGGUUAAGGAUCCAGCAUUGCUGCAGCUGUGGCACCUGCAGUGCGGGUUUAACCCCUGGCCCAGAAACUUCCACAUGCCACAGUUGUGGCCAAAAAAAAAAAAAAAAAGAUAAAAUACAAUUCAGAACUUUGCAUUUCAAAAAACUGUAGGCACAUAUAUCAUAUAUUAGUUCAUGCAGCUUACACUUUCACCUUGCUGGAUCUGGGAACACCAGAUAUUCAAACAUUAAUAUAUCUGAACCAGACAGUGGGUAAAGCCACAGUAAGUUAGGUGAAUAAAAACUAUAGAGAGCUUUUGGUCAGUUCAAGAAGUGUUCUGACACCAAGAGCUAUAAACGGGAGGAUGUGUAAAGAGACGGAGGGAAGGAGAGAGGAAGGGCCUUUUGUUUGCAGAAAUUUAGAUUUUGAAAUUGCAGGUAAGUGAUUUCAGAUAGGACUAGUUACUUUAUAAAUCUUAUUUGUACAGUAAAAUACCAUACUAUCCU
rnacentral:lncRNA from 1 species